ACCGCCGCGAUUCCCGCGGGAAGGCGGCGCCGGCGCGGCCUCCGCCGCGGGGUUCCCGGGGCCGCCGCCGCCCCCGGACGUCUGCCCCGCGCCGCAAAGCCCCCUUCCUGCGUGUGAUUUUGCUUUCCUUCCUUCUCUUUUAAGGUCAAAAAGGGAAAACCCUGAACACCAGGAACGACUUUCACCUGCGGAAGUGCUAACGCAGCGGGUGGCCAGGGACCGGCCGGGGAUGGCUGCGGGGGGGGGCUGCCGUUGCACCCCCCGGCUGCAGCCACGUAUUUUCCUGUGCCUGGGGAAGCUGACAAAGAUCAAUACUAGCCUGCAAAAGACAUUGCCCUCUUAAGAAUUAGCCCUUUGCAGAAUCAUUAAUCCAGGAAGCUGUUACCGGGUGACAAGAGCAUGGAGGCUCUGCCAGGUCUGGGAGGGAUCGCAGGAACAUCGCCUUGUGCACGGGAAACCAAACCAACCGAAAUCGCCAGGAAAAUAGCUGCCAGCCUACGGGCUCUUCUGACUUUAAUUAAGAAAGGCUGGUCGUACUCUUGGUGCGGCGGCCCGCUCGGACCCUCACCGCGGGAGGAUCGGCUGACGGGAGGAUCGGCUGACGGCGACGUCUCGCGCUGCCCCGAUGGCGCUGCCGGCUCCGGGGCGAUCGGCUCGGCGGCGGCAGCGCCGUGCGGGCUCGGUGGCUCGUCCCCAGAGUCCAUUUCCUUCGCCGCUAGAAAGCUCUCUCCUGUUUCUGGCCUGACUAUGCCGAGCUUCAGCUCCUAGGUGCUGGGUUUUGCUUCGUGUCUGCCUUGGCCAAGAGCCCUCCGCUGCUGGAGGGGCCCCUCGGGAGGUGGUUACAAAGAGGCAGAAGCUGCCUGGUCGCUUUUUCCUAAAUAAACUCGAUCGCUUAUAA